AUCUAUUAGAUUGCUGCAAAAGUAGUUGCACUUUUUGCCAUUACUUUUAAUUGCAAAAAUCACAAUUACUUUUGCACCAACCUAAUAGUU
ensembl:miRNA